AUUCAAGAUGGGCGCUACCGUGUUCACCUUUUGAACACACAGCCUGAUGCUGGCCCGGGUACUGUAUUCGGUUUUUAGGGCUACACCAGCCUCGGUUUGGAGACAUGUGCAUCUUUGGGCACUUGGCUUGGUCCAGAUUCACCCAGUCCAUGCGGGCUCCGGGCUGUUGGAUACCAAAAAGUGCCAAUGUUUUAGGCCUGCCUGGGAGCCCUCUUAUUUAGGACAUGCCUUGAAAUCCAUGCGGCUCUGCUUACAGAAGAAAUUUGGGCUGUGAAUGAGUUCUGAUUAAAUUCCUUGCUGCUGUCUGAACAGUUCUGUCAGCUCUCACGGGAUGGGCAAAUGAGCUGUUAUUAUUACAUCAGGGAUAUUUACCCUUUAAAAAACAUAUAAUUCAGAGAAACGAUGUGAUGCACAAUGUGCUACGCACAGAACUGCCAAUAACAUAAAAGCGAAUGAUCUGCUCAGUAAGGUUCCCUUAUUUAAAGAAGGACUCCCCCAUAUAAAUAAGGGGAUCUCUUAUUCCUGGACACUUUGCUGACCUUGUUCGCUCCUAUGCCAAGCCUCUUUUCUCCCUCUAUAGCACUGGAUGGCAAAGUCCAGAGGGUAGGGAAGGAGGGAAUGGAUGCAUACAAAUGACUGACUGAAUUCUUGAUCGCUAUAUGGCGAUGAAGGAACAGCGUGAGGCAGCACAGGAAAAUAGGGUUCCUGUGGCCUGUCCACAGCUCCACAUUGUGCAACAACAGUGUUCCCUGCAAUCCCACCAUCCUGCUUUGGGCCUGCGCCUUCCGUUGGUGCUCAGUAACCCUCCAUGGUUUUGGACCACACAGGCCCAUGAGGAUGGAGGCAGAUUUUGCCUUUCAGCAUCUUCACCUUCUUUGUUUCUAGUUUGUGGCAGGAAGGCUGGAAGUGAUACUUGGUCAGUAUCUACAUAGCAAUGGGAAUAUACAAAGCAGAAUGCCUGUUGUUACUGAAGCUUCGAAGAAAGAGAUCUCAGCCCUACAUUUACCUCUCAAAGGACAACAUAAUUUUUAUCCAGAAAGUUUCCCUUUCCUCAAAGGAGCCCCUGGUAGCCAUUCUCACUGAUUAAAUAACUCCUUUCACAGCUCCUCUUACCCUAAGAAACCAAAAGCACUGUCCGGUGGCCAUUCCCUAUGUAACACUGAACAGGCCAUCUCCUCUAUCAAGAGAUCCAUUCUAGGAACAGGGACGCUGUCCCUCUGACCACAGCACUGGCAGAUGAGCUCUGUGAUGAGACCCAGCUCCCAUGUUUUUGAGAAAUUACAUGGAACAGGCAGAAGUAGAGCAGCCUUUGGCAUCUACGUGUAUUCCCAUUAGCCAUGUUCUUUUAAGUUGUCGGCCUUCAUGCACACACUAAUGUGCGUCCUAACUAACACUCAUGAACUAAACUCACUUUGGCUUAUUAACCCUUCAGGAAUCAUGUUAUGCUUAUUAUCAGUAAAAAAGAUAGGAUGCUUGGAGAGGAAUUUUUCAUAAUAGGAAGACCUAGCAGACUCGCAGCAAAGAAGCCAUGCCAGUGCCAGCUCCCAUCUUAGUCACAGUCGGCUUUGUUCCUCAGCAUUACUUCUGAGUAACAUGAGCACAGAACCAUCCAACACCAAAGUGUUUUUAAGAAUCUGGACUUUCCUAUUCCAAAAAUGUUUAUAAUGAAAUUGAACAACUGCUUGGUUUUGCCUGAGCAAAUGAACAGCUUUGAUAAGAAGUCUCAAGCAUUCCAUGAUUACAGCAGCUUAGUAACCAAUUUGGAAAAAAAAAAAAUGGAAUAUUUGUUAUAUCCUGAAAAGGUUUCUGGUUGAUCAGGACAGAAUGCGAAAAAAAAUUGAUUAUACUGGGUUAAAAUCAAAAUACGGAAGGCACCUCUAUUGUUACACUGCCAUAAGCAAGUGAAAAUCGUUAACUGUUGUAUAUAAUCCACUCAAACCUGGAUCAGGCCCCUCCUUCCCUGCCUGCCCUGAGACGCAGCGAAGGUCAGGGCUGACCCCUCCGAGCAGGAAGGUCCUCCAGGGCCCUCCCCGAUGCUGCCGCUGCUUAUUCUGUGCCUCGCCCCCAUCGUGCAUUCCUCCUGCUCGUUAGGCUAAGGACUCAUCUGUCGCCUCUGUUGUUGGGCACGGCCGGGGGGAGCUGUUGGAUUUGCAUAGUAUGUACGCUCAGAGCAGCUUGUGCACCGAAGCCUGUGGGUCGUACAUAAGCAGACCUAAGUACAGUUCUGCCGGCGCUAGGGCAUUAACGCUGGCGCACGGCUUCCCCGGCAGCGCCGCAGGGGGGUGCAAAGCGCCCGCAGCCCGCACCGCUCCCAGCGGCAGCGGCGUCCCGGAGAGCUGAGCGAAUCGCUGCAGGCACCUCGCUGUGCCCUGCCACCAGUGACGCAGCAGCUGUCUGAGUCGGGCUUGCUGUUGCGCUGUAACUGCAAGCUGAUUUCCAGUAAGGAGGGGGGGGGGGGGGGGGGGGGGGGUUCAAAGAAGUAACAGUACGCUUCUUGUAAGCGGGAUUUGGCGAAGGACCAAGUCAUGGUUCUCUUUUGAGGGGAGAAACGAAGACUGUCGUAAGGUAAACCUCUGUAGGCUGGCACUCACAAAUCAAAGACUCUCAGGACUCCUACAGCUGCCAGGCUGCUGCCCAACCACCACAGACUGACCACACAAAUCCCAUCCUCGCAGCUCUUACCUCCCAUCUCAGGACACCUAUCAUCCUCGCUGAGGAGCUGAAGAGGAUACUUCCAGCAUGGAGAUAUGUAGACAAAACUGAUCUCUUCCCCUAAUAGUUGCCUGCAACAGUUGCAAGCUGAUGGCAAGGUGGGCAAGAAGCAUGGAGAGCAAGGGCAGGCCAGCACCAGACCUGAUGGGCAGGAGACUGUUUCUUUUAUGCUCCUGUUGAUUUGCUCAGCAGUGCUUAGCCAGCGAAAGGAAGAAGCCAUAUGAUCUGAAUGCAGAGAGGACAAACACCGGAACCAGCACGCUGGAGGAAAGGGCAGGAGAACUACAGUGGGACUGACAGCCUGAGGGACAAACACUGAGACUGGCUGAGUCUGGAAACACCGUCUGGGGGAUGGAGCUGAAGAGAAAAAGUGUUUAAGGGCUCAACAGCCUGCAUAAAGACUAGCGGAGAAACAGAGCUGCAAGACAACAGCUGGGACAAGUGACUGUCUGUGCUGGAAAGAGUGGACCACGGGAGAAUCAAGGAUUUCACUUGCUGGUGCGAAACUGGUAGUGCGGCAACAGAAGGCUCUGAAUGAGGUUACCUGAUGAACAAGGCAGGCAGGAACUGAGGAGACAGUCUCCAAGAAGAGAGACAAACGAGCCAAGGAAGGUAACAAGGGGGCCUCAGGGAGACACAGAAAUCAAAGAGCUGGUUAGACAAGUAGCUCUGAGCACCGAGGUGGCUGAGCCUGGCUGGCUCCGCAGGGGCUGAGACAUAGGAAUGACACAAGGACUGACAGAACGAGAGGAGAAGGGCUGGGGUCGGCAGAGGAGUAAGCGGUGGGAAGCAUGGCUGAGCAGGCAGGAGAAAGGUGGGGCAGAGGCAGGCCAGGAGCAGGCUGGAGGGGAUGGAGCAGAAAAAGUGAAGCUUGGGAGGAAUGUGCACAAAAAAACAUAUUCCCUUGGCAGGGGCGGGGUGUAGGAAACCGUAGGGAACUCCACCAGCAGCAAAUCUCUGAGAGUUCCUCUAGAAAAUUAACUCUUCCGCUGUAUUAUUGAUUCACAUGGAGGACUACAGAUACUGUCAGUGUCUGAAUUUCAGUAGGAGAAAUUUCUGUGGCAUAGUUCAAAUGACAAAACCUGCUGAUGAGCCACACAACAGGGCUUUCUUUUUAAGUUAAUUUUUUGCAACAGUAGGAUCUUAAACACCAAGUUCCUGCUAAAGUACUGUUCUUAAGGUUGCAAAGUCAAGCAGUAAAAUGUUACUAAAUCCCUCAGCACGCAACCUUAAUUCUGCCUUUUUAUUUCCACGUCAUGAUGCAGUUAUUACAUCCACAGUCUCUAGCCCCUGUUUAGUGCAAGUGAUGGGUGAUAUUCACUCCGUGAAGAGUUGCUCAAUAUUUGGUUUUACCAUACUCUGUUCAGUGAGCAGCCCCAGAACUUUUCUCAUGCUACUGAAAUACUGAUAUGAAGAAAAAAUUAUUUUGUAGACUGUUUCAUGGUGCUCUUCACUACAGUAGUAUCUGAUUGCUUCACAAUUAAUAAUGAUCUUCUGCAUUACACAGGGUACAAACUGAAACCAAGAGGUCAAUUUUGAUACCUGGGGUCAAACUAGGGCCAAGGAUCUCAUUUUUAAGAGUUAUUAGAAUUAUGUAUUGGUAAUACUGAGAGCCUGGACAGGUGGAGCUCUGUGGUGAGUGGCAGUUUGAGAACUUUAAUAAACCUAACUACACACUGUAAGUCAGGCACUUAGAAAAUGGAGGAUAUAAAGUGUUUUAAGCCGGUUGUUCAGCAAGCUCACAGUGACCUUGUGCCCAUCAUUCUUCAAGGCAGCACUCACUGCUUUUUACAGAAAUAAAAGAUCCUUUCUCUUCUUGCAAUCUCCUGUUUUAUUCAUUUACACACUCUACAACUUCUGCAGUAAGACUCCCACACAUUAGAGUCAUCUCAAGAGCACUUCCAUCCUACAGUGGAUGUACAGAGCACAUCCAGGAGUAAAAGAGUAUGCCAUCAUACAUUUACAGUCUGUGUGGCAAUGUAGAUGCAUAGUCAACUGAAGUAAAGCUGCAUGUGUAACAUUAAUUCCAGCAUUUCCUAACAUUUGAAUACCUGCCUUUGCCAAUCUGUUCUUUUAACAUAAUACCCAGGUGCAAUGCUAUAUAAAAAUACUAAUGGAAAAUGGAGUCCCUUGCUAUAUAAAGAAGUACUGUUUAUGUGCAACAGUAGGAUGUUAUACAAUACGACUCUGAAGACUGACUCCUGAGGAAGAGGAAACAUCUGCAUUUAGAGUAUAAUUACUAGGCAUCUGAGAGACAAUUACUGGUCAUUUUAAGUUGUGCAAACAACACCAUCAUAACAAAAUCAUAGCUGAUUAGUGUUUUAACCUGCCUCCUACUACUGUACAGAAAUUCACUAGAAAAACAAUCAUUUUAAACCUCAAAUCAAGCUCUUAGCACUUUAUUGUUGUAUUUUAACCAAAAAAUAUUUUAAAAUUUGUAGAGACAUCACCUCUCUAACCUACAGUAAGAAACCUUUAAGAAAUCCCUUCAAAAUCCUAAACUACCUAGGAGCUGGGCAAAAGGAACGGAAGAAACAGGUAACUGCUAGCAUGCAGUAGAUGAGCUGCAGGGUGGAGAGGGAAAAGCAGCCAAAAGGAAGUCAGGAGCAGGCAACAAGGGAGGAGGUCACAGAAAUGAACAAAACAGUGGGAAAGAGUCUUGGUGCAAAACUACUUCAAGAGAAUUUAUGAGUGGAUUUAUCUGCUGUAAGAAAAGUGGUGAAACACAGAAGUCCAAGAAACAGGUGCAAAUAGCCUCUUGGCCAGCAUGUGUGCAUUUGGAAAGGAAGAGAGACCUUUAAGGUCAACCUAAUGUCCACUGAAGGCUCUCCAUUCAUUUUGAAGAUGACAUACGCAACCUACACACUUAGAAUAGGCACCUAGAGAUAUUUUUCAACAUUUUUAAGAUGACUAGAUGCUUAAAUCUUGUUAAAAUCUUUCCAAAUUAAUCACCUAAUAAGCCCUAUCCAGUGCUUCUCAAAAUCCACAUCAAUAUUAUGUAGAUACUGAAGCAAAAACUACACUCAUUUCCUUUUUUAUGAUCAUUCAUGUGUUCUUUGCAUUCAUGUGUUCCUUGCAUUUCUUCACUAUGGCUGCACUCAUCCUGAGAGAUAAUGUCUGCUUUGUGUGCUCAAAGAUUUGUCACACGUUCUGAGAGCAUUAAUACAAUGUUAAAAAAAUGCUGAAGAUGAAAGAAGAUAUGGUUGUGCUUUGCCAUAUUUGCUUCUAAAUGAUUCACAAGAGACACAAUCCAACCCAAGCAGAUGUCUCCAAAAGAAAGCUAUGAAUGUAACCUGUAGAUUAAAUAGCUAAUACUCGGAACUAACCAAGUCUUGUGCAGGGUGAUGAGUAAUUUUGGUAUGAUGUCUGAAUUGGGUCACUCAAAAUACCAAGUAAAGUACAUCUUGAUAUUGGAAAACUGGUAAAUAGCAUCAUAUUAAGAAUAAAUGGAAACUAGCAAAAUCAAAUGGAAAUUACAUAAUGAGACUUGCAAAAAAAACCAAACACCUAAAAAGCCCUUCAGAACAAUUUUACCCACAGGAAAUAUUUCAUCUCAAGUAAGCUAAGUGUCAACUAAUACCUAGACUUCUAUGACUGACCUGGUAUCAAACAUUUUUAAAACCUCAUGUUUUCCUUAUAGAAUUGUAAUACUGUUAUUUUUUUCCCCUCAUAAAUCUUAAGGUUUAAAUACAUAAAAGCAAAAACCAGAAUAGCUGAAUAAGACUGGAUGGUGCAGCUCACAGUCUUAGAUGCACUAUAAACUGAUUAACUUUGCUUUCAAGUCUGCGUCAUCAGACUCUUUACAGUGUAAGCUUCACUUCAGUCACAAGAGCCUCGGUGAAGCCAAAUGAGGCUGCUUACAUCAGUAGACUUUUAGCAUGUGCACCUGAAAGUGAAAGAACGAGGAUUACUUACGCCCCAGCCUCUAUAGUCUCAUCUGCCACUUGUAGUGAUCCUGCUAUGACAAAUGCAAGUGUAAGUUUUGAUACAUCUCAUCAUCUUAAAUAACCUGGGUGCUCAAAUGAGUCAGGUAAUUUAGAAACCCUUCAAAUGGUUUAACAAUGAAGAUAUCAAAAGAUGCUGCUUUGAGAUAAUCUCUUUUCAGCUAUGUAUUUAAUCACACAGGUUAGAUUAGAAUUGGCAGAAUUCUAUGCCUAACUGACUCCACAGCACAGAAGCUAUGCACCUCUACUCUAACUCAAGGUUAUCUGUUGGUUCCAGGCCACCACAGACAAACUUAAUAAUUUACAGUGAUAUAAUCUUGCUUCAGAUUAGACCACAAUGAAAAACACAGAUAAUAUUUGCAAAAGACUUGUAAUAAGACCCUGUCAUUUUAACAGUUUAAACUUUGCCCUGGAGAAAUAUCUCUUGACAGCAGCAAACUCACAAAAGGUUCCUUUUUGCGCAUUCCUCUUCACUUUCACAAAACUUAACUGCUAUUCAGAAUGAGCUAUCUGAUUCUUGAAAGGAGAUACAUAGGGCUCCUUUGACUUGCAUGAAGUCAUGCUAAUUUAAAGAACACAGUCCUGCUUCUUCUCAGACAUUCUCCAUUGUGUUAAAAAAAUUCAAAGCACACUUUAGUAAUAGGUAUCCAUGCUCUUCUUGGUGUGAAGUGGGCCUAGAACUGUCACCUAUUCAGAACAUCAGCUCAAAUAACACAACUACCAGUGAGGAGAAGACCUACAGGGCACAAGAUUUAACAUUGUCAUAAAAGAGUCACCUCUUACUGCACAAUAUUAUGCUGAUGUUUCAUUGCAGGAAGAUGAAUAAAAUCAAGUGCUAAAGGGUAUUAACUCUUCCUUGUAAAGAUCAGCAUUAGGCCAAAGUGUAGGAAGGUAUAAAAAAAUCAGAAGAAACUAAUGUUCUAUUUCUGCUAACAACUGCUGAUGGAGAUUUUCAGAAUGAAAACUGUAUUCAGGAAGAUUAUUCCCAUACAUACAAUUACACCUAAUUUAGUUAUGACAUGAUGCUCGAAAGAUCUCAGUUUACUAGAAAGGAAGUGAGAAAUAAGCCAAACAAAUUGAGAUAAUUUUGGUCAAGUCCAGGAAACUGCAAAAACUAGAUUUACGUGCAAUAUUGUCAACUAAAUACAAGAUGAUCUAAAGUAGCAGAAAACCCACCAUUUAAACAUCCAAGAAAAAUUUUAAAGAAAUAUCUGAAAAAUGUUUAAGUAUAUAUCUUAAUAGAGCAGCAACACAGGCUAACAUACUUUGGGGUUGAUUAAGCAAAAAUUUCCUGGAGCAAAGAAAAAGUUUUCCACAAGGCUGUUAUAUAAUUGCUUUGGAAAUACCUCUUAUCAGAAUACAGGAACAACAACAAAAGACAGAUUUAGUCAAAAAGCAACAAAAAUAAUCAUAAAGAGAAAUGUUUUAUGAGCAGAAAUUAUAUCUUCUAAUUAGCAGACAUCAUACAUCAUUUUUUCAAGCAAUGACUAAGCAGGAUAUGGCCAGAAUUGCCUACAAAUAGUUCCAUAAUGAAAACAUCAAGGCAACAGAUGAUUUAUUUAUAGUAUCUCAAGUGAGCAGAGUUAGGAAUAACAGGAAAAAAUAAUGGAAAAUGAUGGAGAAUUAUGCAGUAUAACAAGCAUUUCUGGCACUAAGUCAUGUAAAAUUGCAUGAAGGCAAGAGCCAAAAGUAUCAUAUUCAAGAUGUCAAGACUAAGUGGAGCAAAGCUGCACCAAACUGAAGGAUGGAUGACUUUGUGAUUCUGAGGAACUUUGCAACGCUGCAAUGAUUCGUCAUGGCAUGAACCUUACUCACGCUGUCACCAUGACAUUAAUAAUACAUUGAGAAUAACUUAGAAUGUCCAUAAGGAAUUAAAUUGGUGACUUAUGUUUUCUGGAUUGUAAUGUAAUAAUGAUAAUGAUAUAUUCUUUUUUGUAUAAUGUGAGUUCAUCAAUGCUUUAGAACAAAAGACUAUCAAAAGAAAUAUAUAACAUUGCAUAGGAGAUAUGUGGCAAAAGCAAUUUCAAUAUACUGACACGAUGGUGACAGCUUUGAGAGAAGUUUUCUCUAAGCCUGGGAUUUAUUAUUGUUUCAGUGGUAAGUCUUGUCAAACAGGGGCAGAUCCAUGAAAGGAUAUGAAAGCAAAGUUACACAGUAACUCUACAGAUUUUCUGUUCUUUCACGUAUUUAUUUUUGCUGGUCCUGAAGUCUCUGACAUGUUUCUAACUAAGGGGAAAAACAAACCUUUGUUAGCUUCACUAAAGUAUUCUUCAAGCCUGUUUUGCUGCUUACACCAUUUCCACAGUUUUAGCCCUUUAAUUCAGCACCACCUGUUGCUUUUUUUUUUUUUUUCCAUGACGAUAAUCAGCAGCAGUUGGUAAUAGCCUCAGCAAUUACAAGUGAGCCUACUUUCAGAGUAGGCCUACCGGAGAAGAAAAUGAGGCUGCAUCUUGAGUAUUGUGUUCAGUUUUGGGCCCCUUAUUACAACAAAGACACUGAGGCCCUGCCAAAGAAGAGCAGCGAAGCUGCGGAGGAUUUGGAGUACAAGUCUUAUGGAGAAUGGCUGAAUGAACUGGGGUUGUUUAGUCUGGAGAAGAGGAGGCUCAGGGGAGACGUUAUUGCUCUCUACAACUGCCCGAAAGGAGGUUGUGGCAAGGUGGGGGGUUGGCCUGUUUUCCCAGGUGACUAGUGAUAGGACUAAAGGUAAUGGCCUCAAAUUGCGCCAGAGAGGUUCAGAUUGGAUAUUAGGAAAAACAUUCUCAGAAGUAGUCAGGCAUUGGAACAUGCUGCUCAGGGAGGUGGUAGAGUCACAAUUCCUGAAGGUGUUCAGGAAAAGUGUAAAUGUGGCACUGAGGGACGUGGUUUAGUGGGCAUAGUGGUGAUGAGUUGACGGUUGGGCUAGAUGAUCUUAGUGGUCUUUUCCAACCUUUAUGAUUCUAUGAAAAUUAAGAAUAAACAAAUAAGAAAGGGAAUCCAGAAAAACAGGGCUGGAAUGGAAAAUAAUAUAAGAGGUGAGAGAGGGGAAAAAAGGAGAACAAUGCAGGUAAAGGAUGAGAAGCAAGUAAUAAACAGAUAAGACCAGGUUUAAAGAUAGAGACCUAAGAAGAAUAAAGGAGUCAGAUGAAGUAGACUGGAGAGCGAGGUACAAUGGGAGUGAAAGGAACAGGGUAAAGAGGAAAAGGAAAAAGUUUUAAGAAGAGAAGAUAUAUCAAUCAGAUCAAACUAAACAAUAGGAACAGCAGCAGAGUAAAACAACAGAGAAGUAGAAACAUGAGAGAACAGAGGAAACUGGGGAGCAGCCAAGUGAAAAUAGAGAAAGUAAAUAUAUUGGCUACUAGGUAAAAAUUUUGUCUGGUGUUGGCAACUUUAGCAUUCUUUUCUGUGCAGAAGUUUCUUGCUCUCAGGCAAUACACUUCCACCAACGAACGCUGUUUUUCAAAUCAGCUUCAGAACUUCCUGGUAAUUCUUGGUGGUGCAUUAACAGAAAUCCUGGAAGGUUCAGUUAGGCUGGAGCAACCUUGAGACAAUCUUUAAUUGGGUAUGCUCAGUAGUUACCUUUUUAAUAAUACUGUCUUAACGGAAGUAGUUCAAGCCUCUCAACGUAGGGGCAGACAGAUUAGUUAUCAAAUGCAUUGAAAAGGUGAAUUCUUAUUAAAAAGAGAAAUGCAUUAUAUCUGCAGGAACUAUUUUUACAUGCACUCACAUUAGGAAUUGUAUUAAUGUUUCAAUGAAUUGUCAUAUUUCCUCCCUAAAAGUAGGAUAUCAAAGUUAAAAUAACUAUGCAUAGAUCAAGCUGAAGAGCAAAGAGCAAAAGAUUUGAUGCAAAUUUUGUUGAGCAGAAAUAUUGAAAAUACUGUAUAAAGCAGAAGAGACCUCAAAAAUUGUAUGCAGUAAUGAGAUUUAAUAUAAAUUUGGUUCAGUACAUAGAUUCUCUGAUAAAUCUGAAUAAGGAAUUUCAAUAAUAUCCAAUUUCAGUUUCAAUUAUGUGCUACAAAAAUCUGUUAAAUAAUAUUGAUGUAAAACUAUCAAAUAAAAUAUAUGAAUAUUGACUAUUGACUGAAUAUUAAAUAGAAAUCAAAAUUCAAAAAACCCUCUUCAGAACUGUAUUUUUUCAAGUUAUGCAUCAGCAUUAAGUGAAGACUAACGCUGUUAUAUCUAGUGUCACUGAACAUGAGAACUGAAAAGCUCUUUAAAACUGAGGAACAGAAUAUAGAUGGCCCAAAAAUCAGAAUCACAUUACAUGCCUCUAUAGUAUACUUUCAGUGCCACUUAUCCCUACAGGUAGAAUACUUACAGGUUUUCGAGUUGGAGUAACUUGAACAGAAUGAUAAAAUUCUGGUUGCACUCGGCUGCUUUUCUUGAUUUUCCUUUUUCUUACAGAGGUUUCCUGCUCGCUUAGGUGGUGAGCUUCUACUAAAGGCUGUGUUUCCUCAAGGCGAGGUGCUACACGUCUUCUGGCAUGUCGAGGACUUGAUCUAAAGCCCUGCAACAGAAAAAGCAAUCAUCACGUUUGACAUCUCCCAGAAUAGAGCCAUGUAACAACAGAGAAAUCACACAGGAUCUUAACAAUGACAAUAAGUUGAGGUACAAGCAUGCUCAAAUUAAUGUAAUGUCCAUAUAUACUGCAUGUAACAAUAAAGGGAUGUUGCUGAGUGCUGUGAAGACCACAUUUGUUUCAUAUAUUUCAAUUAUGUAUGUUACUGACGGAGCUAGUGGCAGUAACUCCUGUUACUUUUCUUUAUAAGCCUACACUUAGUCAGUUGAAGUAAAUAAUUGUAAUUUAAAAUUUAUAAUUAAAUGUUCCAGGUUCGCUCAUGGCCUCAUGAGAAAUUGAUUUGGGGAGUAUGAGCAGAAAAUGUGCUUUUUUUCCUGAAUGAAAGUGAAGAAAAAAUUAGUAGCUAGCAACACAAUGGCCACUAACUCUUUUUAUUAAGAGUUCUGACACUGCUAGAUCUAGGAGGAGAUCUUACCAUUUGGAAUAAAACAGUUAUGAAAGACAGCUGACCUUUGCUUAUUAUCUGGGAAACACGUGCAUAUUUGGACAAAAUAAUAAACUUGGGAAAAGCUGUCCUUUACAAAUGCUUUACAGAGGCUUGCAGUGAAAAUCUCUGAACAUCAACCAGAAUGUCUUACAGCCUUACAAGAAUGUCAUGUAUUUAAUAGUAACAGGUAUAAUGCUGGCAACGUAUUACUACCUGCAGAAAUUUACACAGAGCAUUCUCAUAUUUUCCUGGAUUCCCACAACACCAGUCAUCAUGAGCAUGCAGGAGCCUGCCAUGUGUCAUUUGUACUGAACACAGUAUUGGUUGAUAUUAUGCCUGGCUAGGUUGUAAAUCAGUUUCAUUUCCUUGGACCCAUCAUCACUGAGAGCAAAUUGGCCAGAUCUAUGUCCUUAGUGACAGUUUUCAGUUUAAGGACUUAGUUCCCUUUCCAAAUGAGGAACAGACACAAUUUCUGAUUUUCUACCUUCUUUUUCAUUUCAGUAAAAUGUUUCUAUCAAUGUCCUUAUUCAGUAAUUCCAACACUCAGAAGUGACCUGUUCAUAUAGAGAGUAGAGAUUCUACAAAUUAAGAUUUUAGUUAAAACUGCAGCAGUCCAUGCUGUGAACCUUAAUGUUCUGAGCUCCUGUCAGGUGAAAACUAGUGGGUACAGUAAAUUUCCUUAUAAACUUGCUGUUCUUUUUUAAGCACUACUUUUUGCUUUUAAAUUACAAAAUCAGCAUAGAAAAGUUAUGCUAAAAUGUUGCUAUGUUCAUAGACUGAGGUAAUCAAAAGGUAACUGGGUGGCUUUUUGUGCAAAUUGGAUUGAUUCCUCUAAUAUUCAUGCCACUGCAAGGGAAGAGACCUGCAGUCUCUUCUGGGCAUUACGGAUGGACAGUUAUUUUAGCUCUUUAAGGAAAUACUCCAUGAAUUAAUAGCCAAAACACACAAACAUAUUUACAUACACAUGCUGGUAAUUACUACAGGCAUAUCUUGCAUGCAACAUGAUGUGAAAAGGCAGAAUAGCCAAGAUGAAGUGUUAGUGCUUGGAUGCUAAACCUAACCUCUUGUAGCAACAUUCUGUUCCUGGACAGGAAUGGACCCCAGCCCUACUUAGUCCAUGCAGGAGGGUAAGUUUGUACAUGUGGUGCAACAGGAGUAUAUACAAAGUAAUAUACGACAUAAAGUACGUAUAUACUUAUAUACAUAUGAAGUAUAUACGACAAAGAUGCAGCCCAAAUUUCCUGAAUCCGUAUUUACAAUCCGUCCUAUGCCACUGAAGCAAGAGAGUUGUUCAGGCUAUGUGUAGGAGCUGACUUUGAUUCCAUGUAUCUUUAAUGGAAGUAUAUCUCUCCACAUCAACCAAGACAUGCAGCAGGGAAGCUACUGCAGCCAAUAGACCUGCACAGAUUUAGGAAGGCCUCUAAACAUUCCAAGACAUAAAUCUAUGAGGUGUUCCAUCAUGCUAUUGCAGUGGGAGAAGUUUUUGCCCCAUUUUCUCUGCACACUGUAAAAUUGCUAAUAUAUUUACAGUGUAUCAUCCAUCAUGAUAUUAACACCAGUCAGGAUGACAGGGAAAAAUACAACACAAGAAGCCUAUUAUUACAGAGCUUACUUGUAGAAUGUUAUUAUUAUUAUUUUUCGCAAAAAAAAUGUUAGUGUGCAUUGGGGUUUAUUCCACAAUGUAAGAAAAUACUCUUUAAGACACCAAAAUACUCAGAAAUACUGUUUUGAUUUUCUAAAUGUUAAACAGAUUAUGAUUCAUUCACAGAUAAUGGCAACUGGGGCUGUGUCAGGGGAGGGUCAAGCUAUGCACAUCACACUUCAGUUGCUCCCUUACCACACUCCCAUCCUGCUAGCAAGAUAAAACUCUUUGGAAAAUAUGUUUAUGUAACAGAAGAAUUUGGUAGAAGCUAAGCAGCUCUAAAAGUGCUUACAGAUGCAUGCCAAAUAGGGUUUUAAGUAUGUGGGUCUCCCAUCCAGUGACUUCACCUCAAAAUACUUCAAGAUAUACUAAUUGAGUAUUACGCUUCAAUACUAAAAAGUCACUUGUGAUUUCCAGAAAGGUCUGCUUAUGCACUGUACUUCUCCUUUGUAUUUGAUAUAUAUUUUUUCUCUUUUGCUGUUUCUUGCUAGCAAGCAAGAAAAUGAAAUCUUUAUCUCUUUAAGAGCUCAUCUGCUUCUGCUGCCGAAGCUUAUUCUUCACUUGAAGUCAUAAUCUGUCUGCACUGCCGUGAAUGGUUACUCCGGAGAGGAUUAUAAUGCGAUGAAGGCAGAGGAUCAUGAUUUCAGGUGGAAAAUUGAUUCCUUAUCAACAAAGAUAAUGUUACAAGGGCAGAGUCCUUAGACCAAAACCUGAAAUGCUUGCUCAUUCCUGCAACAAGACCUCGCAGAAGUGCAAAGAAAUGCAGAAAGGACUUAAAAGUGAUGUAAUGGAUGGGAGCUGCUAUUCCACGCUCAGUGCAAAAACUAGAUCUGCCAGAGAUUCCUUCAACAGUGAAAUGAACAGAGGCACCGUGUGCCACCUGUGUUACUUAUCCUUCAGUUGAACCCAAAGUUGAAAACUUGCCAUACUAAAAUGGCAGUCAAAAAAAAAAAAAAGUGAAAAUGACAAAAAUAUUUGUUUGUUUGGUAAAGAGAGCACUAUUUUAGACAGCAAGCCAGAGAUGGAGAACAGAAAAGUACUACAAAGUAUUCAGGGAUACACAGCACACAAUCUGAGACCAAGCCACUGAGCAAACGCUAAAGAUUUUCAGAUCAUGCAGGCAACGUGAGGUUGCUCUAACUCUGUUAAGCAAUUUGUGCUUUCCAGUGUCAUGUGAAUGCUGUGCCACUGGACAGUGACAAACCUUUCCUUCUUUGCAUUAAGGGAUAGCUGUUCCUUCCUGGACCCUACUGCUUCUUCAUUUUUUAUCAUAAAUCAUGACACAAGACAAACCAAACAAAUAAGAUUUCAAAUACAUGUUUUUAGAAAAUCUCUUUUCUCCUAAAAUAAUUGCACAAAGAUCACAGAUUUACACCAUAAGGUAUUCUUCCUUAAAGAAGAACCAGGACCAGUUUUAGGUAUCACAGAGAAAGACAAGAAACAAAGAAGACCAGAGAUUAUCUUCUCUCCAAAAUCAUCCAUGCUCAUCCUUCUAGUUAGCUCCCUAAAGGAAAGAUUUCUGCUUUGGAAGAAGGCUGGGAAGAUCUACCUUUUAGCUGAGCUGUGUGAAUUAAUGCUUUUAUGCCUUCUCUAAAAGUUGUGGGGUUCUUUCUGGAAUGAAGUGUGGUAACAUUGAAUAGAACUGCUGUGUCCAUCAUUUCAUCUAAACUAACGAUGAAUGUUCCAAACUGUCACCAUGUGCCAGUGAGCACAGCUGACUGGUUGUAUAAAAUGGACUCCAUGGUAAGAUGCUCUGUUAAAAAAGUAUCUUCCUAUCCAGCCAAAUUUUAGGAUCACACCUCUGAUUCAGGGCCUGAUUUGUGCAUACAGAAACACUGUGUGGGAUCCCUCUGACCAAAGCUCAGCAGAUCUCCCCAGACUCCCUUCGCAACAGAUGAAGUCAGCAGGUCAGACAAACCUGGAGCAACUGCUUCUCUCCACUGGCCGUAAACGAAGCCCAGGCUGACUGCUUCACUCACAGAUGGCUGUGCUCUAAGUGUCCAAAAUCAAACAGUAUGAAUCCGACUCAUGAUGAAUGUGAGGAUUUUGGUCUGCCUUGGAUACAGUAUUCAUCCUUCCACCUACACUGUAUCAUCAGGCUUCCUCUUAUUUUCCCUUUCCUGUAGAAAUAACUCCAGUCUUUUCCAUCAGUUUUGUGUGAGAGUUUUACAUGUCCUCAUGCACUAACACAACUCUUCUUGGAUCCACAUAAUUUAGCACAUUAUUCUUAUUAAUUUCAAUUACUGAUAUAUAUAGUAGUAUGGUGUGAUUUUCCAUUCCAUUUAAAUAUUUCCCAUCUUUUUUUUUUUUUUUUGAUCAAGCUAUACAUCUGACAGAGCUCAUCAAUGAAUUGUAAUUCAGAAGAUCCUUUCUGGAGACUAUAACCUUAAAAAUCAACAAAGUGCACACAUGGCUUUUCUCUGUAAUAUGACCGGCUCUACAUUUAUUGACAUUGAAUAUCACAUGUCCCAUUCUUCAGAAUGUGAUGUGGUCUGUUAUUUGAUAACCAAGUGAUACUCUGCAGGCUUUAUGUCAUUGUCUAUUCCCCUUCCUACUUCAUUCAUUAAUAUUAAAAACAGGCUUUUGAACCUUC